GACGAACCGUCCUAACGUUGUUCGGAAUCACUGGGCUUAAAGGGCGCGUAGGCGGGUGCUCAAGUCUGUGGUGAAAUCCUCCGGCUCAACCGGAGAACUGCCAUGGAUACUGGGUGCCUCGAGGGUGGUAGGGGUAUGCGGAACUAUCGGUGGAGCGGUGAAAUGCGUUGAUAUCGAUAGGAACUCCGGUGGCGAAGGCGGCAUACUGGACCACUUCUGACGCUGAGGCGCGAAAGCCAGGGGAGCGAACGGG
rnacentral:rRNA from 1 species